rnacentral:rRNA from 1 species
UACGUAGGUGGCAAGCGUUGUCCGGAUUUAUUGGGCGUAAAGAGCUCGUAGGCGGUUUCGUAAGUCGGAUGUGAAAACUCAGGGCUCAACCCGGAGACGCCAUCCGAUACUGCGAUGACUGGAGUCUGGUAGGGGAUCACGGAAUACCUGGUGUAGCGGUGAAAUGCGCAGAUAUCAGGUGGAACACCGAUGGCGAAGGCAGUGAUCUGGGCCAGUACUGACGCUGAGGAGCGAAAGCGUGGGGAGCAAACAGG